rnacentral:rRNA from 1 species
CCAUGCCGCGUGUGUGAGAAGGCCUUCGGGUUGUAAAGCACUUUCAGUCGUGAGGAAGGUGGUGUCGUUAAUAGCUGCAUUAUUUGACGUUAGCGACAGAAGAAGCACCGGCUAACUCCGUGCCAGCAGCCGCGGUAAUACGGAGGGUGCGAGCGUUAAUCGGAAUUACUGGGCGUAAAGCGCAUGCAGGUGGUUUGUUAAGUCAGAUGUGAAAGCCCGGGGCUCAACCUCGGAAUAGCAUUUGAAACUGGCAGACUAGAGUACUGUAGAGGGGGGUAGAAUUUCAGGUGUAGCGGUGAAAUGCGUAGAGAUCUGAAGGAAUACCGGUGGCGAAGGCGGCCCCCUGGACAGAUACUGACACUCAGAUGCGAAAGCGUGGGGAGCAAACAGGAUUAGAUACCCCGGUAGUCA